AGCAGCCGCGGUAAUUCCAGCUCCAAUAGCGUAUAUUAAAGUUGUUGCAGUUAAAAAGCUCGUAGUUGAAUUUCGGGGUUAGUAGGUUGGUCAUGCCUCUGGUAUGUACUGGUCUCACUGAUUCCUCCUUCCUGAUGAGCCGUAAUGCCAUUAAUUUGGUGUUGCGGGGAAUUUGGACUGUUACUUUGAAAAAAUUAGAGUGUUUAAAGCAAGCUAACGCUUGAAUACAUUAGCAUGGAAUAAUGAAAUAGGACGUUCGAUCCUAUUUUGUUGGUUUCUAGGAUUGACGUAAUGAUUAAUAGGGAUAGUUGGGGGCAUUAGUAUUCAAUUGUCAGAGGUGAAAUUCUUGGAUUUAUCGAAGACUAACUACUGCGAAAGCAUUUGCCAAGGAUGUUUUCAUUAAUCAAGAACGAAAGUUAGGGGAUCGAAGACGAUCAGAUACCGUCGUAGUCUUAACCAUAAACUAUGCCGACUAGGGAUCGGAUGAUGUUAAUUUUUUAAUGACUCAUUCGGCGCCUUA
rnacentral:rRNA from 1 species